CCUUCCAGGCUCAAGUGAUCGUCCCACUUCAGCCUCUUGAGUAGCUUGGACUACAGGUUGGUACCAUUUCUAACACCAGGAAGACUGGAGGAGGAAGGAGGAAGGGGCACAAGAUGAUGAACUCAAGCUGGUGCCUGUUGAAAAUAUUGUGUCUGUGAGCGGAAAAGGGAGACAUCCUGUCAGCAGUUGGAUAUAGAUUUCUGAGAUUCAGGAGGCAGAAGAAGAAGAAGAAAAA